rnacentral:lncRNA from 1 species
UUACCUUGAUCAAGCACCUGGAAUGCUCAAUAGAUUUGCGUACGGCAAUCUAAAAACCAUCACAAAUGAAUUCAGUAAAAAGCUUGGCGAAGGUGGUUUUGGUUCUGUUUUCGAAGGCACUCUAAGCGACGGCACAAAAGUUGCAGUAAAACGCCUUGAUGGUUUUGGGCAAGUUAAGAAAUCCUUUCUAGUUGAAGUAGAGACAAUCGGCAGCAUCCAUCAUGUAAACUUGGUAAGACUCGUGGGAUUUUGCACUGAGAAAUCUCAAAGGUUCCUUAUCUAUGAAUACAUGUCAAAUGGGUCACUAGAUAGAUGGAUCUUUCACAAAUCCAGUGAAUGUAUUCUCGACUGGCAACAAAGGAAGAAUAUCAUUCUCGAUAUAGCAAAAGGCCUUAAUUAUCUUCAUGAAGAGUGCAGACAGAAGAAGCAGGCUAUUAAGUAACCUGGUAAUGGAAUUGACAAACUUACAUAGAGAAUAACGAAAUUUCCAAAUACCGCACACAUUUUCAUUCCCUGUAAGAUUGGUACAUCUAUUCUCCGUGAGAAGCACAUAGUAUUAACUACGUGUCUCUCCAAUAUUGACAAAACAACCAUCAAAAAGCCCACCAGCAGAGUCAGGGUGGUCACUAUCUUUUCUGCAAGCGUGUGUUCACUAAUACAAAGAGACAGAGAAACUCCUAGAAAGGGGGAGCCUUGUGAACAUGGUCAACUGGACUUCCUUUAUACAACCAUCGUCAAGCUAAUAGAAAACGCCCCUGCAAGAUUAGUUUAAGUCAAAAUCUGAUGAACCGUUAGACCCAAUGUUCUGAGAAGUCCUAGCUAAACAAUAGGAUAUAUCCUACAAUCAAGACCAUAUGCAUCUCCUUAGAGGGCGAUAAGUAUCUCAUCUCACAACGUCAGGCCCCUUGAUUUUGAAUUAAUGAUCAAACUGAUGCAAAAGCCAAUUGCUCAUUGGAAACUCAAUUGGAUCUCACGAGGCCCUCUAACAGGGAGCAUGCCGGGAAAGCAUUAUUCCACUUCUUGUUAAAGGAUUACUAACUCCCAGUCCUCAACACUACAGGAGAGUGUCGCCACAAUAAGUGGAACUUCCAUAGGAGUGCACACAGAUCUGAAGGACCAGGGCUAGUCAGCAAAAUCCUCAUUGUCAUUGUCAUAGGCUUUCCUUUGAAUAGCAGACAGUAGUAAUGUACAACUAGAACCCUGUGGAGAAGUUAAGUGGAGUUGUGGAGAUCUAUAUUGAUCAAAGGAAAUCGGAAAGUCCUACUACAAUAAAGAUCAAUUGAUAUCCCAAGAACCAGACCAGUGAAAAACACUCCAAGGAAGCAGGGCACCAUAAAGUCCAGAAGAUGGGAUCACACAAUCAAAUUAGGUAGCUUCUCCAAUCACCUGAUAAAUCAAAAAAGGGCCUGCAUCGCCAUUGGCAGUUCAGAAUGUAUAUAGCAAAGGCCAUGACUAAGCUAAAACUAGUCAUCAACAUCUAACUAAACAAAGCGCCUCUAAAAUAAUUACCAAGAAAGCUACAUAACCUGUUUUAUUCUGAAAAAUGAAGAGAAGGCUACGUAACCUCUUGAGCACCUGUAUUUAUCAACUCAAACAUGACUGAAAAGGGGNNNNNNNNNNNNNNNNNNNNNNNNNNNNNNNNNNNNNNNNNNNNNNNNNNNNNNNNNNNNNNNNNNNNNNNNNNNNNNNNNNNNNNNNNNNNNNNNNNNNUGUCUAUUCCAUAUACUCCUCAACAAAAUGGUGUUGUGGAAAGAAAAAACAGAACCCCACUGGAAAUGGUUAGGUCCAUGAUGGCGCAUACUAACUUACCUAUCACUUUUUGGAGUGAUGCGUUAUUAACAGCUGCCUAUAUACUUAACCGGGUGCCUUCCAAAUCAGUUACUUCCACUCCAUAUGAGUUAUGGAUAGGUAGAAAACCGGACUUAAGUUUUCUUAAGCCAUGGGGUUGUGCUGCCUAUACUCAUGAGUCCUCUCACAAAUUUGGGAAAUUGGGUCCCAAAAGAAAUAAGAGUAUUUUCAUAAGAUACUCCGAAUACUCGAAAGGGUAUGUGUUCAUAGGUGAGUAGAAAAGUGGGAGUAUAACUUAAUUUGAAUCACGAGAUGUCACAUUCUUAGAGAAUGAAUUUUUUAAGAAGGGCGAAAUAGGGGAAGAUUACUCCUUAUUUGUAAUCUUGGAUCAAGAUAAUGAUAUUAGUGGAGUUCGUCCAAGUGGGAGUAAUAUGAGAAGUGAUGAAUUGAAUUCAACUCAUUCUCAAUUGCAACCACAUGAUGAGACGACGUCAUCAUUAUCUAAUCCUAGUGGGAGCAUAAUGGGAAAUGAUGUGCUAAGUGUACAAUCUCCCAUACGGCGAACAAGUCGCCAAAGUAUUCCCCGUCGACGUUUUGACAUUGAAGGUGAAACUUUUAUGAUUGCUCUGUAAGAUGAGGAUGAGCCAAGAAAUAUUAAUGAGGCUCUAAAUUGCCCUAGUAAGGAAAAAUGGAUUCAUGCAAUGGAAGAGGAAAUUGAGUCAAUGAAGUCAAACCAUGUUUGGGAACUGGUUGAUCUUCCAAAAGGACACAAAGCUAUUGGGAACAAAUGGGUUCUCAAAAUAAAGUGAAAAGCUGAUGGCUCGAUAGAAAGGCAUAAGGCUCGCAUUGUGGCGAAGGGGUAUAAUCAACAGGAAGGAAUUGAUUAUGAAAAAAUAUUUUCUCCUGUAGUGAGAUUUACCUCGAUUCGCAUUAUUUUGGCAAUAGUGGCUAGUAUAGAUCUUGAGUUACAUCAAAUGGAUUUAAAGACUGCUUUCCUCAAUGGAGAAUUAGAGGAAUAAAUAUAUAUGGAACAACCUGCUGGUUUCAUUAUAGAAGGCCAAGAAGGAAAGGUAUGUCGACUUUUGAGAUCGAUAUACGGCCUUAAGCAGUCAUCGAGACAAUGGUAUAUAAGUUUUCAUAAUGCCAUAAUGGCAUAUGAUUUUACAAUGAUAGAUGAGGAUCAUUGUGUAUAUAUCAAAAGAUCCAGAGAUCAAUUUGUGAUUAUAUCAUUAUAUAUUGAUGAUAUACUAAUUGCUGGAAGUAAUAUGAAGUUUGUUAAUACUAUCAAGAGUUGGUUGUCUUCCAACUUUGAGAUGAAGGAUAUGGGUGAGGCUGCAUACAUUCUUGGAGUUAAAAUUUCAAGAGAUCGUUCGAAGAGAUCGUUAUCUUUUUUCGCAAGAAACAUAUAUAAAUAAGGUUCUUGAACGAUUUCGUAUGCAAGAUUGUAAACCCAUAGGCACUCCUAUUGCAAAAGGUGAAGGAUUGAGCCAUAGACUGUAUCCAAGGACUCCACAAGAGAAGGAACAAAUGAAACAUGUUCCUUAUGCUAGUGCUGUUGGAAAGCUUGAUGUACGCUAUGAUGUGUACAAGACCUGACAUAUGUUUUGCAAUUGGAAUGGUGAGAAAAUACCAAUCCAAUCCAGGUCAAGCACAUUGGAAAGCCGUUAAGAGAAUACUAAGGUAUCUAAAGGGAAUUGCUGAUUAUACGCUGAGUUAUUAAGGAAAUGAUCUGCGACUCUAAGGCUAUUCUGAUGCUGAUUGGGGAGGAGAUUUAGAUGAAAGAAAAUCUACCUCUGGGUUUGUUUUCUUACCGAAUAAUGGUGCCAUAUGUUGGAGCAAUAAGAAAUAAACUUGUAUAGCCUUGUCCACGAUGGAAGUUGAGUUCGUGGCAUUAUCAGCAGCAGUAUAAGAAGGUGUUUGGCUUAAGAGAUUUUUGGAUCAUUUAGGUGUUAUUGGAAGUGUUGUAGAUUCAUUGUUGGUUAACUGUGAUAGCCAAGCAGCAAAAGCGUACACCAAAGAUCCAAAAUAUCAUGGCAAGACCAAACAUAUAGAUACCAAGUAUAAUCUUGUCAAAGAUAUGAUUGCACGAAAAGAUGUGAACUUAUAGUACAUAUUAUGCAUAGAAUGGUAACAGAUCCUAUGACAAAGCCAAUACCUAGAGAUGUUUUUUGUGGCCAUAUGAAAUCUCUAGGAUUGCGUAGAGGCUGAUGUACUGAAUAUUGUAAUUUCCCUAAGUGUUCACAUUUGAUGAAUUUGUGUUUUUCAUCAUUAAUGCCUAUGAAUCUUUAUUUGAUCUUUAUGCAUCUUAAUGCUCAGUGCAUUAUUUUAAGUUGAGAAAGUAUGUCGGACAUAUAUAAGAUUAGCCCACUCACACAGGUAAUCGCCUCUAUUUACUGUGUGAUAAAUAGAGAUGUGACUAUUUUUAAGCUUAUUAUCUAGGUGAUAAUCGAGAGCUCAAGCUUAAAAUACAUAAGUCGCCUUAACUGAGUGUUAAGAUGAGGACAUAAUACUUAUUAUGUCCGAAAGUAAAAUAACCCACAUAUUUUACUUUAUCUGUCUAUGAUGCCAGAUGUGAGUUCUGAUGAAUUUUGUGAAUGAGUAGAUACGUGAACUCAAGUUAGACAUUGGGUAUGUCUGAACUAUCAUCUAUACGGUAUUGAAGGUGUAAACAUACCCUCCAUGGGAAAGGAGUUAAUACCGUAAUACGUAUUUCAUACUACGUAUGCAUGAGACGACCAAUAAGAGUAGCAAAAGUUUGAUCUCAACUUUUAUGCCGUGUGAGACUCUCGAGGAAAGGAGUUCCUCAAUAUUUUAGUGCCCUCAUGACUCUACUUAUUCUCAAGAUUUCUAUUUAGUGUUUGCUAUCUUAGAAUGUUGCCAAUGGUUAUGAGUUGAUUCGAUCUAAUGGGACAUUUCUAGAAUAGCAAGCUAAACUGAAAUUUGAGAGUUUGAAGGAAGAGGAGAUCGAAUUUGGAGAUCACAUGUAAUUUUUAUUCACUGGUUAACCAAUUAUGACUGUUCUUUGGGAUAAUCAUAAUUGUGAAUACAAUAUAUAUAUAUAUAUAUAUAUAUAUAUAUAUAUAUCAUUGUUUAAAAGAGAUCAAGAGAGAUAUAAAUGUGAUCGAUCGAUCUAGGGAACUGCAUACUAAAUCUACUCAGGAUGUGAUGCCCAUUAUGAGCUGCUAUAUAUUCCUAACAGAUGUAUGGCAACGAGCUCUCAAAGUAUGAUGGUCGCACGGAUUAUUCACCUGUAUGAAUGUUGAAGAGAGGUAAAGAGAAUCCUGUUCGGCCCACCAUGUGCGAGUGGGAGAUGAUGGUUUUAUUAAUAUUGUGAUGGGCCUAAGUUGGCCCGUCCGCCCAUGUUGGGCCUAAAAGCCUAGCCCACAAAAUUAGGGCCCAUGAAUGGAGGGAUACGUUGAAGAGUUGUAACUUUUGGGAGGACGUCUUUUGCUGAAGGGACAUGUCUUUUGGAGAAGACGUAUUUAAGGGGAGAAAAGAAAAAAAGAAAAGGCACCUUUUGGACGUACGCGCACUUUUUCUUUUCCCCUCUCCCAAAAACCAACGUAAGUUUUCUCCCCUUUUGAACCAACAGUAGGCUCCUUGGUAGACCGGGAUCAGAUUCUUCCUUGAUCUUCAGCAUUGGUAUUUAAUCUGUGGCUAACAAGGUACGCUCGAUUCCGUGGUGUGCUUUAGGAUCGGUGAUACAUGUUCUUUCUGGGCUCGUCUUCCGCAUUCGUUUUAAGGGUUCGAUUUAGUGUCGAAUCCGAUUUUUUUGGAAUCCGACAAUCCCAACGAUAUUUUCCCCAACCUAAUUUUGUGUCAUAAAAGACCACAAAUGUUACUCCUAAUCCAAUCUACCUUCUAUAAAAUGUGUAGAUUUUUCACGCCGAAUCUAUCAUUCUCCAUGUCAAGUCUAUCUUGCAGUUAUCUAUUGUUGUGUUGACAUGCAUGCAUUUUAACAUAAUAUUAAACUUAAUACUGAUUGAUGGUAGAUUUGCGUCAGAGAUACCAAUUUGGUAUAUUUUGUGACACGAAAAAUAAAUUUAGGGUAAAUGUGUCAUGGAGUGCUAGUUUAGGAUUUUUAUGAGACAAAAGCCAAUUUGGGAUAAAGGUGUCAUGAGAGUAGAAUUUGGGAUAUUUAAUAGUAUUAGCACUAGUUAUGUUUAGAGACAGUUCCUUAAGGAAGAACUUGAUCUAAUAUAUUUAAAUAAAUAGGGAAGUCAUCGGGGUGAAGCUUCAUAGGAAGAAAAUUUCUUUCUUGGAUUUGGGUCCACCGAUUUGAGUUCAACAAUUUCUCUAGACGACCAUCUUCCAUCAUUUUGAGGUGAUGGUGCAUUGCAUGCUUCAAGACAAUUCCCUGCUUCGAAUGAGUUUAGAUUUAGGAUUGUAGGCAUUAGAGUGACUAAAUAUAACUUUGAAAGGAUAAACGUAAAUGAAAAAACAAGCCCUGGGAGCAAAAGAUAUUUUCGCUGUACAUAACAAUACAUGAAAUCCUCAAUCUUGGAACCUUAUGACUCAAUUCCAAGGCCAGAGUUUCUAGUUCUAGCAAGUAAUGUCACAAACCGUUGAGAAUUGAACCAUGAUUUUUAACAUGAACAAAUAACAGCAUAAGCACAAAAACAAGGAGACAUUGCGAAACCACUAGUGAAGAUUGCCACUGUAGCUAAAGAAAAUAAGCAAAAUUUGCAAUUACUAACACAAAUUUCUACAAAAAAAAAAAAAGAAGAAAAAAAAUCAUGCUCAACAUGAAUAGAAAAAUAUUGGAAAGAGAGGUGAGACCGAGGGCGGGUGUGAGAAAAUGCCACAUGAGGAAGAGAGCUUGAGGGUGGUAGGCAUGAUGGAACACGGUGUGAGGAAGAGAGCUCGAGGGCAGUGAGCAUGAGGGAAUGUGGCUUGAGACAUGGAAGAGGGAGAGUCGUGAGGCAUGAGAGAGGAGAGUGAAGAAAGAGAAGCGUUUGUAGGGUUUUUGCUCCAUAAAAAGGCAAAAAUGGAAUUACGUCUAAUAAAUGAUGGUGAGAUGGGAAGUUAAGAUAUUUUCAUUAAACCAACAAAGUAGAGUUUUGAAAAAGCUAAUUCUUAAGAAACCUCCAAUUUUUCAGUCUCUUAAAGGCAUUUGCAUAUGCUCAAAGGACUUUAGAGCCCUAAAGUCCAUUCUAAAUAUUGAACCAAACAGAGAAACUUGGGCUUAGGCUUUGCAUUGAAAAGCUCCAAGCCUUGAUGAUGAGACUUUGGGGCUGGAUUGAGCCUGGAUUCAGAAGAGCCGGAUUCGUGCAAGUUCAUCACAUCAAAAACCCUAAAGAAAUCCAGAUCCUGCAUGAAAGCUACAGGCCCAGACAAAAAGUUUUUGUAUUUGGUCCAAACCCGCUUGAUAGCAAAAGAUUUGUCCAAACCCGAUCAAAUAAUGAGUCGUCGAUUAGCAUCGGUCAUGGUGAAUCACUUCCACUUGUUCUGGUUUUAGGUCAGUCAUCGGCAAUCUUCUCUGUUUUCGACUUUAUUUGUUGCCCUGGCAAAAGGUGAUGGAAUUUUUUACCAGUGCCGUGCACGUGGGAUUGAGUGAAAAUGCGACCUCAUUUGCUGCGUCUUCCUCAAGACCGUAAUGGAACUUUUGACCAGUGCCGUGCACGUUGGAUUGAGUGAAAAUGCCCGACUUCAUUUGCUGCGUCUUCCUCGGGGACACGGAGGGCGGUCCACUUUCUCCCCAUCGGGGAAGCACUGGGACCACCUUUAUUCCUUUUUAAUUCUUUAAUCCGGGCUCUGUCAAAAGAGGGAAAAAAAUUCCAUUUUACCUCUGCUUUCUGUCUCACUCUCGGUCUCUCUCUCCCCGAGAGUGAUCGAUUCGAUCCAAUCUAGUUCCAUUUAGGAAUUAGGAAUCGAAUUGGAAGGAUUGAUUCCUAAUUUUUAGGAUAAAAAAUUAGACCGGACCGAUUUAGGAUCGAGAACUGGACCGGACCAACCGGUCUAGUCCGAUCUGGUCCCAUGAAACGAAUUACUUAGUAAGAAAAUUUAAAAAUUAAGAAAAAUACAAGAAUUUUUACUAUUUUUAAGUUUUAUUGCUAUUUUAAGAAAUUAAAAAAUCAAUUUAAAAAAAAAUGGAUUGACCGGUCCGGUCCGGUCCAUUCCGGUUCCACCCCAAAAUUAGGAACCCCAACAAUUACCGGAACUAGGAAUUGGACCAAUCCCUCUGGGAACCAGACCACACUGGCCAGUCUAGUCUGAUUCAAGCGAUUCUCGGUUUGGGCAGUCCGAUAUGCUAACCCCUAAUCUUAUCUUGUCUCCAUGACCAAAUGAAUCACGAUAACUUUACAUCAUUGAUCUCCACUUCACGUGCAAUGAGAGCCGUGUUCGGCCUGGAGCAACGAUCGUGAAGUCGGAAGUACCCACCCGCAUCGAUGUUGGAGCAGCUCUGUGACAGUGGUGCCGGUGAGCAAAACGGUAUUAGGGCGCUAAGCUUAGAGUGGAAAGUGGGUCUAGGGUUUCCUGGUGAUUGAGCAUAGCAAAGUGUUAGAAGCAUUUUGGAGAAGAAAGUCACAGUUUGAUUAAACAAAAAAAAGUCACGUGGUCGUUUCUUGUGAGAUGGAAUGUGGUACCGUUUUUAUUGAGAAAAAAUAGGGUGUUAAGAUUGGAUUAAUUUAGGAGAUUAUGUAACAUAGCUCACUGUCUUUAUUGAGAAAAAAAAAUUGUACGGAUUUUCGUUAUUUUCAUGAGAAUAGCUUACACAACCAUCGCCAAAUAAUAAUUGGCGUUAAUAUAUUAGAGAAUUCAAUUAAUCAAUCUUUAAAAAAGCAAUAAAAUUAAAUGCUAAGUAACACGAUGAAGAAAGUAACAAAGUUAAUCUUUUAGCAGAAAAAAAUGAUGAGCUGAUUUAUACUUUUUCUAAUAAAACAAUAGGCAGGGAGAGAAGAUCGCUGGGUGGCUCCUCCACCGAUUGUAAUGUGUAUUGUAUGGGUGCCAUAUUCAUGAAUGGCGUAGGCGAGGACACAUAUUUGAACGUUAACUUGUAUUUGAUAUAAGCAAACUUUAUUUCAAUUUAUGGCCAAUUUAAUGAAUAUCUAGGACACCUGUUAAAUAUUUUUAUUAAAGGGAUUUUGACCUUCAAUGUGUAAUAGGAUAUAUUACGAUGACAAUCAACAUAUUAGGAGUUGCAAUAUUUUCUUAUUUAGUUGCUUAAUGAGUGUUUUCGAGAGACCUUUUAAAUAAAUAUUUUUUAUCUUGGAUCUUUAUACUUUUUUAAUACACUUCAAUGCUUCGGCUUGGAUUAAUAAGUUCUUUCAAAGGGAAAGCCUAGUGGAUUUUUCCAAGUAUUAUGCAAAGAAUGCAAUCAAGUAUUAUGCAAAGAAUGCAAUCGACUAAUAAACUUUCGGUUGGUAAGAUCAAUUUCUAAAUCUUGUAUAAAGAGAAAAGUUUAACAAAAUCCUUCCACCAGAAAUUUGCCAUUGUUUCUGUAAAAAACUGUUUGAGUGAGCGUACGUUGAUUCAAAUAAGGUACAACUGAAAAAAAAUCUCUGAUACUCUUUCCAAUUAAAAAAAUUUCAAGAUUCAACUAAUCCUCGAUUUUGAGCAGGAUUUACAUGGCACUGUUUAGAAUCAAUAAUCCAUUACCCUGCCUUCCACUCAGACAGAGCCAGAGAGAGAGAGAGAGAGAGAGAGAGAGAGAGAGAGAGAGAGAGAGAGAGAGAGAGAGAGAUUUUGUCUAGCCAGACAGUGACUAUGGAAGCAUUUGGGUUCAUUGCAGAGAUGAUAAUUACAAAAACAAGAGGUGAGAAUUUGUUUGCUCUGCCCUGAUAUUAUUGUAUUCGCUCUUCCGGGGUACGUGUCCAAAUACCUUUCAGCUCUUUAAUAAUUAGUGAAUCUUUUUUUUUUUGGUCGAAUAUAAUUGGUGAAUUAGGUUAGAUUAGAUUAAAUUAGGAGAUUAUGUAACAUAGCUCACGAUAUAGAAAAAAUAGUAUGGACUUUUACUAUUUUUGUAAGAAUAGCUUACAUAACCAUUGACAAAAUAAUAAUUGGCAUUAAUACAUUAGAAAAUUCGGUUAACCAAUCUUAGAAAACAUGAUAAAAUUAAAUGCAAAGAAACACGAUGGAGAAAGUAACCAAGUUAAUUUCUAAGUAGAAAAAAAAAUGACGAGGUUGAUUUUAUUUUUAAUAAAGAAAUGGACGGGGAGGGGUGAUCACCAGGUGCCUCUUCUGUUGAUUGUAAUGUGUAUUGUGUGUCAUAUUCAUGUAUGGCGAAGGUAAUGGUCUAUUUUGAAACUUGAACUAGUAUUUGAUAUCAACAAAUUUUAUUUUGAUUUAUAGUCAUUUUAAUGAAUAUCUUGAGUACUUGUUAAAUAUUUUUAUUAAGAGAAUCUUCGAUCUUCGAUGUGUCAUCGAGUAUAUUAUGAUGACAAUGAAUGUAUUGGGAGUCACAAUUUUUUUUAUUUAAGUACUUAAUAAGUGUUUUUGAGGUACUUUCUAAGUAAAUCUUUUUUUAAGUCAAGUCCUUAUGCUCUUUAAAAAAAAAAAUAUUCUAAAUCUUUUACUAAACCAGCGAAAGGUAUUUUUUUCGGAGUACAAGAGGAAAGAAGAAGAAAGAUAGGCGGAUGCGUCACGCAUAUGUAGGUGCGGCAAAGGGAAGAUUAGGAUAAACACCUCUGGUCGGACCGCUUGCUUUUGGCCUUUCUUCUUUUAUUUCUUACUCUUUUUUUUUUUUUUUGGCAUUUGGGCAAAGACGCGUACUUCGUUUCUUGUUUGACGGGUUGCAAGUCUCUUCUUCCAACCCAAACCACAAAAAAGAAACAAUUAAAAAAUUAAAGGAAGAUUGCAAGUCUCUUCUUGAUGCUCGACAUGCGAAUCACGCUGGAAUGCAUUCCACUCACUUUAUUGAAAGGACUUCCUGUGCAAUUUUCCUGUUUCGCUUUCAUCUUGACUCAAAGUCGUCAGUCUAUUAUUUGCAUCUUCUUUCCUCCUCUCUUCCAUUUCUCAAGCAUCUCUCUGCUCAGAGUUUCACUGCAGGCCAUGGUUUUACUCUGCAGCAGUCUCCCCUCUUUCUUCCUUUCCUUUUCCUUCGUUUUGCUAUUGCCAUUCUCAAACUUCAUUGCUCAAGCUCGAGAUUAUGAUCAUCCAACCGCCAUGCUUUCAACACGGUGGACGAAUAACGCAACAGCUAAUCACUCCACCCAAUAUAGUGCUGGAUCAGUUGUGCAGAAAAUUCUAUUCCGACGCGCAGGAGUUACUGCCUACUACUCCUGCGGCUUCUAUUGCAAAGGUAAGUGCACCUCUUACCUCUUUGCUGUUCUAAUCAUCAAACCUGACUAUAGGGUGGACGGAAGUCCACGAGUAGUGUGGUCUGCCAAUCGAAACAAUCCCAUAAAGAUUGGCGCAACAUUGGAGCUCACGCCUGAAGGCGAUUUGGUGUUGAAAGAUGCUGAUGGUACGGUUGCUUGGUCCACAAACACUUCUGCAAAGUCCGUUGUAGGCCUGAACUUGACAGAUUUGGGGAACCUCGUAUUGUUUGAUAAGGACAAUGCGACAGUUUGGCAGUCCUUUGAUCACCCAACCGACUCACUUGUCCUCGGACAAAAGUUGAGGCAUGGGCAAAGAUUGACGCAGAGUAUUUCCGAGACAAGCAGAGUAUUUCCGAGACAAAUUGGACCGUUGACGAUAUGAUUACGUUUUCCGUGAAUGACGAUGGUUUAUCUGCUCAAGUGGAGACUAAUCCUCCUCAAAUCUAUUUCAACUACAAACUUGACACUGGGGAUACAAGUAUCAAGAUUUCAUAUGUUGAGUUUGUAAAUGGAAGCUUGUCUUGGUUCUCAAAUUCUACCUCGAAUGGGAGCUUUUCUCUUUCAAUCCCUUCAGCAUCUUCAACACAACACAUGACGCUAGGCUCAGAUGGGCAUUUGAAAGUGUAUGAGCCUGGGGGGGUAGAAGUGGCCGAUCUUUUCAAAUGGUAUGUCGAUGACUGUGCCUAUCCGACGGUGUGUGGGCACUAUGGAAUUUGUUCCAAUGGGCAAUGAACUUUGCCAUAACUUAUGUUGCAAUUAAGUUUUAUUGCUUAUGUAGAAACUAAUCGUACUCAAGUCUGUUGUGUCUUAAGUCAUUCGUGUAAAAUGCUGCCAAAAGACUUGCUGCUAAAAGACUAGUCAGCUACUUGUAAUGUCUUUUGGCAGCUUUACCAUUUCAUGGUUCCAAAUCUAAUUUGCUUUUUGGUUUCAACACCUAAUAUCUUUCAGAUUCAAUGACUUUACCUCCGUGUCUUCCUCAUUUCAAAAUUAAUGAUCUAUUUUUUAGUCCAUUCUACAAGCAGUACAAUUAAAACCGAUAAAGAUAACAGGAGAAUUCAAUCAUUGAUAAGUUCGAAUUUUUCCUUGUGACUCCUAAUACAUCCUAGGUUAAUAAUCUUAACUACCAGCUUUUUAAGGAUCUAUGGAGAUCGUUUCGAGGCAUAUGAUUGCCAAAAAUAAAGAGCUGACAUGUUUGGGCAUUCAAGAUUCGACUUUUCAAUCUUUAAAAAACGCUGAUCAUUUGCAAUAACCUCGGCAUUUCCAGUCUUUAAUCAUCAUGAUCCAAGCGUGCUGAUCCAUCAAAUUUAUCCAGGUAUAAGAAGCUGGUCCGGGUCUUAUUUGGUCCCGAAACUGCUCGCACAAUUAACCAAAGUUCAAAGCGAUCUGACAUGGCCCGCUGCCAUGCCGUGGCACCUCUUGAUUCUCUUGAUUCGAUCUGAUAGCGGCAGGUCAACAAACCAGAGCCCACGUGGAGCUCACCCAUUGGCCUGAGCUAUGUGUAACCUCUCGCAAAGUCCUCCCUCUUCCUUGCACAAACUCACUAGCGACGGAAAUAUUUCUUCUUCUUCUUCUUCUUCUUCCAAUUCCUCUGCAUUUGCGCCCUUCGCCUUCUCCUCUUCUUGAAGUCUCCGAAUCAGAGUAGCCAUAGUAAGCCAUCACAAAUCGCACAGAGAAACGAUAAUCAGUACAUAACAUCCCCAAAAAGUAUAAGACAAGACAAUAAAACUGAUGUGAUUAUAAAAAUAAAAACUGUACGCAAGCAGAAAGAAGGCUGAGAGGAAGAAAGAAGACGACAUAUGGCCUAUGACUUCCCGAGACAUCUCAAGCAUAACAUAAGACCGUUUGCAAUGCAUAAGCAUCAGAAAUACAGCAUAUUAAAUAUCAAUAGCCAGUGGUCCAUUUCUUUCUUUACAGUAGCCCAAACUGGAUCCAGCUUAUAAAAGAGGAGUUUACUCUUGUUGCACAGUGUCAGCUUGCCAUGCAAAAAAGCAGAAGUGUAAAGAGACACAGCAGCAUUCUUUUCUUCGCUUGUUUCCCCCUAAAAGAUGUCAAGGUAGUCUCCAUAUGGCUAUGAAGCUCAAAGUAAGAGACAAUUACAAAAUGCUGUAACAUUUUCUUCCUGAUAGUUUAUGCAACAGAUAUUGGACAAAUGGAGAGCUAGAAGUGCAUACAGCCACACACAGAGGGCUCAUUAAUUCAUUAACAUUAAGGAACAGAAUAUCAAGACAGAAAAAAUAUAAAUAUUACAAAAUGCCAAGCCACACUAAAAAACCCUUGCUGUUUUAGUUAUGAGUGAAUCAAGGUUUACCGUGUAAGAUUUCGACUUAAUGACUAUUUUUCCAUUUCUCUGGAGAAGUAAGCUGUUAAGCAACCUGAUAAUGGAAUUGACAAACUUCUUACAAGUUACAUAGAGUAUAACAAAAUUUCCAAAUACUGCUCACAUUUUCAGUCCCUGUAAGAUUGUUACAUCUAUUCUCCAUGAGGAGCACAUAGUAUAAAGUACAUGUCUCUCCAAUAUUUACAAAAUAACCAUCAAAAAGCCCACCAACAGAGCCAGGGUGAUCACUAUCUUUUCUUCAAGCAUGUGUGUUUACUAAUACAAACAGACGGAGAAAUUCCUAGAAAGGCAGAGCCUUGUGAACAAGGUCAACUGGACUUCCUGGAUACAACCAUCAUCAAGCUAAGAGAAAACGCUGCUGUAAAAUUAGUUUAGCCAAAAUCUGAUGAACAAUGGUUUGAGAAGUCAUAGCUAGACAAUCGGAUGUAUCCUACAAUCACGACCACAUGCAUCUCCACAGAGGGUGAUAACUAUCUCAUCUCACAACAUCAGGCCCCUUGAUUUUGAAUUAAUGAUCACACCAAUGCAAAAGCAAUUGCUCAUUGGAAACUCAAUUGGAUCUCACAAGGCCCUCUAAUAGGGAGCCCACCAGGAAAGCAUUAUUCCACUUCUUGUUAAAGGGUUACUAACUCCCAGUCCUCAACACUACAGGAGAGUAUCGCCACAAUAAAUGGAACUUCCAUAGGAGUGCACGCAGAUCUGAAGGACCAGAGCUAGUCAGGAAAAUCCUCAUUGUAAUAAGCUUUCCUUCGAAUACCAGACAGUAGUAAUGUACAACUAGAACCCUGUGGAAUAAGUUGAGUUGUGGAGAUCUAUAUUGAUCAGAGGAAAUUGAAAAGUCCUACUAUAUUAAAGAUCAAUUAAUAUCCCAGCAACCAGACCAUCGAAAAACCAUCCAAGGAAGCAGAGCACCAUAAAGUCCAGAAAAUGGGAUCACACAAUCAAAUUAGGUAGCUUCUUCAAUCACCUGAUAAAUCAAAAGAGGGCCUGCAUCGCCAUUUGCAGUUCAGAAUGUACAAAGCAAAGGCUAUGACUAAGCUAAAACUAGUCAUCAACAUCUAACUAAACAAAGCCCCUCUAAAAUAACUACCGAUUGAAGUAAAAUGAAGACUGCAUAACCUGUUUUAUUCUGAAAAAUGAAGAGAAGGCUACAUAACCUCUUGAGCACCUGUAUUUAUCAACUCAAACAUGACUGGAAAGGGGACUCAAACGAGAAUUUCUCAGAGAGAGAGAGAGAGUCAUGUAGGUGGGUACCACACGAUCCAACAAUCCUCACCUGCAUAUGAAGACGUGUCCUUCCAAAUUUUCCAUAUAACAAAAGUCAAGCAAGGAAAAUCAUACCAUCCGUACCCAACAAAACCCGCACAACAGAAACAGGCAAACCCAGUCGAUGCCAAAGAUAAUUCAAUUUAACUCUAGGUCUCAAUGAUAUCAAGCCAUCAUACUUGCAACAUUAGGGCUGGGAGAUACUAUAAGCCUAGUCCACGCACCAUGACAUCCUCUGUGAUUUUCUUUUCAAUGACUUCAGUAUUUUUUGCAAUUUACAUUCAUCAGGCAUAAUGAAAAACUAAAUCAAAUGUACACUAUUAUGUGCAUCAUCAAACAAUGAUUAAGUAAAAACUAUGUCCACUUGAAUUGACAUGAAACUGGUACAUAACCACGAAACCAUAAGCGCUGGGCAGGUACUUAUAUUUGUUGGCCUAUGUGAAGAUGUUAAUAUACUCUCAAGCCAAAGAGAAGGGCUUUCUAUUUGAGUAUCUAAUUGGAAAAAAAUGUCCUUAUUAGACAAAUAAACCAGCAGAUGUUCAGAAAAAAAGCACAAGUGGGCAUUCUUUGUGUGCAAUAGGUGCUGCUAAUUUUAAGGCCUCUUGGAGCCUGAGCAACUGGCUUUCUAUGUGAGUAAUUGAUUGAUCAUCGUCGCCACUGAUUUUGCAUAGAGACACCAGAAAGAAAUGUUAGACGAAGAAAAAUAGAAUGAAUACUACCGGUUGUCUUAAUCAACGCAUUUUCAUUUGUGCCAUCAAUCUUCAGUUUAAACAUUCCACGACAUCUGAAAUGAUCAUCACGUAAAGUAAUCCUAUUGUAAUGUUAAACCCUCCCCACAUAGAAACCUUCCCAGUAUCGAUGAUCCACCACCCUGACUUCAUCUCAAAGACAGAGCCAGAGAGAGAGAGAGAGCAAGGAUCUUGUAACUGAUGGUGUAACUUUUUAAGUAUUCAUAACAGCAAAGCUGUAGCAUAUAGCCUAAAAGAGAAGACCGACAAUCUUAAAGGUGAUGAUCGAUAGGAGCGAGUUAGAAAGAGCUUCUGCGGCGGGGGGAGAGAGACUACCUUCGGGGUCGAUUCGAUCGCCGGUCGCCGCCGCGCCAAGGAGCAAUCGCCGAGAGCCAGAGCAAGCGAGAGAGAGAGAGAGAGUUUUUGGGUGCGGACAAGAGGGUGAUUUAUAUAAGAGGUUUGGGGUGCGCUGCAGAGAUGACAAUUGAGAAAAACAAGAGGAGAAAAUUUGUUUGCUCUGCCGAGACGUUAUCGUAUUCCCUCUUCUGGGGUACGUAUCCGAAUACUUUUCUUGCACUUCACCAAUCAAUGUGAAUCUUUUCUUUUGGUCGAAUAUGAUUAGUAAAUUAGAUUAGAUCAAAUUAGGAGAUUACGUAUAUAGUUCACCCUCUUUAUCGAAGGAAAAAAAACGAUAUGGAUUUUUGCUAUUUUCAUAGAGAUUCAUAGAGAAUAACUUACGUAGCAAUCAUCAACAAAAUAACAAUUGACAUUAUUGUAUUAGAGAAUUUGGUUAGCCAAUCUUAGAAAACGCAUUAGAAUCGAAUGUUAGGAAACGUGGUGAAGAAAGUAACAAAGUUAAUUUCUGAGUAGGAAAAAAAAUGAUGAGUCUAUUCUUUUUCUUUUAUUAUAAAGAAAUGGGCGGGGAGAGACGAUUGCCGAUGGCUCCUCUAUCGAUUGUGAUGCAUAUUAUAUGGGUGUCAUAUUUAUGCAUGGCAAAGGUGAGGACACAUUUUCAAACUUUAACUCGUACUUGAUGUCAGCAAACUGUAUUUUGAUUUAUGGCCAUUUUGAUGUUUAUAUUGAUCACUUGUUAAAUAUUUUUAGGGAUAUGUAUACAACAAAUCUUAAAACUUAUUACGAAAAUACAAUUGAGUCUUAAAAUUUUUAAAAAUUUCAAUUAAGUUCUAAAACUUGUCAAACUAGUGCAAUCGAACCCCUUCCAUUAAUAUUAGCAAUUUGUCUAACAAAAUAACGUAGCAUUUUUUUUUUCAAAGUCUUAUUUAAAUAAUAUAUUUUUUUUAAAAGCUAAAAUAAUUUUUAAAACAAAUUUGGAAACAAAGAAAAGAAAAAGGGUAGGGACCAUGCUAGGCCUAUGGCCACCGCCCAUCGUUGGAGGGGGCCGACCUCGUUGGCCCUAGGUGGUGGAGGGGGGGCAGCCCUCUCCAGCCCGAGCGAGGCCACUGUUGGCCCAGGCAAGGUCGGGCAAGGCCACCGUUGGCGCAAGCAAGGUCGAGCGAGGCUCGCCCAAAUCUAGACAACACCCUAUGGGUCACCUAGAUCUAAGUGAUGCCAGCCCUUAUCUGGGGUUGACCGAUAAGGCCUCACUUGGGGCUGGUGAGGCCUCACUGGUCAUAGGGGAGGAUUGACGUCGCCCAAAUCUAGGCGACCCUCUUCUGGCGUUGAGGCAUCGCCUAGAUCUGGGCGAACCUCACUUAGGCCUAAGUUGAGGCGUCGUCCAAAUCUAGGUGAGCCUCGUCGGCCCUUGACUAGGCUGGCGAUGGCCUCACCUGGGCCGACAAGGUCCCUCCCCCUCUUUGCCGCCUAAGGCUAACAACCUUAUUGGCCCCCUUUGAUGAUGGGUGGCAGCGGCGUCAUGCCCAACACAAUCCCUGCCUUCAUUUUUCUUUGUUUUCAAUUUUGUUUUUUAAAUUUUUUUUAGUUUUUUAAAAUUUUUUUACUAUAAUUUACAUAAUAUUCAAAGAAAAAAGUAAUAUAAAAUUCCACGUAAGAUAAAUAAAUAAAUUUAAAAAUGCUACGUUAGCAUAUUCCGUUAGAUAAAUUGAUGGUGUUAACGCAAGGACUUAAUUGCAUUAAUUUGACAAGUUUUAAGAUUUUAUUGCACUUUUUGAAAGUUUUAGGGUUUCACUGUACUUUUGUGACAAUUUUUAGGACUUGUAGUAUAGAUAUCAUAUAUUUUUAUUAAGGGGAUCUUUGAUCUUUGAUAUGUGAUUGGGUAUAUUACGAUUGCAAUAUUUUCUUAUUUAGCUGCUUAAUAAAUGUUUUUGAGGCACUUUUUAAGUAAAUCCUUUAUAAAUCUGGUCUUUAUACCUUUUUAAGACACUUUGUUGCUUCGGCUUGGAUCUUCAGAAAGAAAAACCUAGUGGAAAUUUCCAAGUAUUAUGCAAAGAAAGCAAUCGACCAGUAAACUUUUCGGAUUAAUACAUCAAUUUCUAAAUCUUUCAUAAAGGGGAAAGUUCAACGAGAUCCUCCCAUCAUGAAUUUGUUGUUGUUGUUAUAAAAAAUCACUUAAGUGCUCAUAUGACAAAUUAAAUAAGGUAUAGAUACUCUUUCUAAUAAAAAAAUUUCAAGAUUCAACUAAACUAAUGAAAGGUUUAAAGCUUGAUUGCAUUUUUUGUGUAAGAUUUUGGACACAGUAUUUUUCUUUUUGGUCAUUGUAUCGUACCGAGUACAAAAGGAAAGAAGAAGGAUAGGGGGAUAUGUCACGCAUAUAUGGGUACCCGAAGGGAAGGUUAGGAUAAACAUCACCGGUCAGACCGGUUGCUUUUGGCCUUUCUUCUUUUCUUUCUUACUUUUGUUGCGUUUGGGCAAAGACGUACCUGGUUUCUUGUCUGACGAGUUCCAACCCAAACCACCAUUUAAAAAAAAAAAAAAAUUAAAGCAAGGGUUGCGAGUCUCUCCUAGCUGUUUGACAUGGUAGGAAUAGUAAUAUGGAUUAGUAGUUGUUUAUUGCGAUAAUUAAGGGGGAAAGACACCAUGUAAUUAUACCAAUCACGCUUGACUCCAUUCCUUUCACAUUAUUGAGAGGACUUCCUGUGCAAUUUUCCUGUUUUGCUUUCGUCUGACUCAAAGUUGUCGGUCUCUUAUUUGCAUUUUCUUUCCUGCCCUCUUCCUUUUCUCAAUCUUCUCUCUGCUCAAAGUAUCACCGCAGGCCAUGGUCUCGCUUUACGGUCUCCCCUCCUUCUUUCUUUCAUUUUCCUUCGUUUUUCUAUCGCAAUUCUCAAACUUCAUUGACACUCAAGCUCAAGAUUAUGAUUACCUAGCUGCCCACGAUUUCAACUCAGUGGGUGAAUAACGUAAUAGCUACUCACGUCACUCGACAUGUAGAUGGAUUCAGGCAAUUCUACUCCGAGGCAAAGGAGGUUCUUGGCCUGCCUACGCUUGCAGCUUCUACUGUAAUGGUAAUUGCAACAGUUGCCUCUUUGCUGUUUUCAUCGUCACAGUUUAUGGUAGUGGCGUAACUGUUGAAUACACUAUUCCACAAGCAGUGUGAUCUGCCAAUAGAAACAAUCCUGUAAAGAUCGAGGCAACAUUGAAGCUCACGUCCGAAGGUGAUUUGGUGUUGAAACAUGCUGAUGGUACGGUUGCUUGGUUCACAAAUACUUCUGGAAAGUCCGUUGUAGGCUUGAACUUGACAGAUUUGGGGAACCUCGUGUUGUUUGGUAAGGACAAUGUGGCUGUUUGGCGGUCUUUUGAUGAGCUAACCGACUUGCUUUGUCCUCAGAAAAAAGUUGAGGCAGGGGCAAAUAUUGAUGCCGAGUGUUUCCAAGACAAAUUGGACCGUUAAUGAUAUGAUUUCGCUUUCCAUGAUUGGCGAUGUUUUACGUGCUCAAGCGGAGAUUAAUCAUCCUCAAAUAUAUUUCGAGCGUGAAGGUUCAACUACAAAUGCAAGCAUCGAGUUUCCAUAUAUUGAGUUUGUAAAUGGAAGCUUGUCUUGGAUCUCAUAUUCUAGCUUUUUUUGUCUUGAUAUCAUUUCCUCUAGGAUCUUCUAAUCGAUACAUGAAGUUGGGCUCGGAUGUGCAUUUGAGAGUGUAUGUGUACAAUUGGUUGGUGAGCGUAAAGAAGUGAAAAUCUUUUCAUAGGGUUUGGCGAGGACUGUGCCUAUCCAACAGUGUGCGGGCGAUAUGGAAUUUGUUCCAAUGGGCAAUGUAGUUGUCUGGCUUCGACUAGGGGAACGAGCUAUUUCCAAUAAGUAGAUGAUAGGCAGCCUAAUUUUGGGUGUUCUAAGAAUGUUCCAUCGUCUUGUUGGGCUUCAAAAAAUCAAACUCUUCUGGAGCUCAAAAAUGUCAUGUAUUUCAGUUUCACUCUAGAUCUUGAGGAUAUAGAUGCCUUAUGUUGCAAAGAGACCUGCACAAAGAAUUGUUCCUGCAAAGCAACUAUAUUCCAAUAUCAUUCUAAUCGCACUAGCGACAAUUAUUACUUACCAACUCGGGUGUUAUUACUUAUGAACGUUGACAAGAAAACAUUUUUUUAUAAUUCUACUGCUUACCUUAAGUACAAAAUGUGGCCAAUUAAGCUCCUUAUACUUCGGUUGACAAUUGUAUGAGCAACCGUUUCCUUGUAAUACCUGCAUCUAGCCUCGGAGCUCUCUUUGCCCUAAUGAUUUUCAUCACAGUCAUAGUUUUGUUGUUCAAAAGAGAGCAAAGGAGGAUUACCUUGAUCAAGUACUUGGAGUGCCCACUAGAUUCGCAUACAAUGAUUUGAAGACCAUCACAAAUGGAUUCAGUAAAAAGCUUGGCGAGGUGUUUUGGUUUUGUUUCAAAGGUACUCUGAGCGACAGCAUAAAAGUUGCAGUAAAACGCCUUGAUGGUUUUGGAUAGGUUAGGAAAUCCUUUCUAGUCGAAGUUGAGACUAUUGAUAGCAUCCAUCACGUGAACUUGGUAAGACUCAUCAAAUUUUGCACUGAGAAAUUCCAUAGGCUCCUCAUCUAUGACUACAUAUCGAAUGGGUCUCUAGAUAGAUGGAUCUUUCACAAAUUCAAUGAAUGUGUUCUCUGCUAGCAACAAAUGAAGAAGAUCAUUCUUGAUAUAGUGAAAGGACUAAAUUAUCUUCAUGAAGAUUGCGGACAGAAGAUAUUUCACCUAAACAUUAAAUCCCCAAAUAUCCUCUUGGAUGGAAAUUUCAAUGCUAAGGUUGCUGAUUUUGGAUUAUUCAAGUUGAUAGACAAAGACCAAAGCCAUGUCAUCACAACCAUGAGAGAAACUCUUGGUUAUGUGGCCCUCGAGUGGUGGAGUAAAGCAAUCAUUGAAAAGAUCGGUGUGUAUAGUUUUGGCAUGGUAAACUUAGAGAUAGUUCAUGGGAGAAAAAUCUUGGGUCGCUCUCUAGAAGAAGAAGACAUGCAUUUACUGAGCCUUUUUAAAAGAAGGUAGAAGAGGAACACUUAUUAGACAUUGUGGAUAAGUCUAGCGAUGACGUGCAACUAAAUGGACCAACGGCAGUGAAUAUGAUGAGUAUUGUUGCAUGGUGCUUGCAAGGAGACUAUACAAAGAGGCCCUCCACGUCAAUGGUCAUCAAGGUGCUAGAGGGCGUCAUGGAAGUUCCAAGGGACCUAGAUUACGACUUCACUGCUUGGGCUUCCACCAGUGGAGAAGCAAGAUUUAGUCGAAUGGAUGUCGAAUUCAAUGAUGCCUCUGCAUUACUACCCUCAAUCCUAAAUGGUCCACGAUAACGCUACAAAGUCGUAAGAACUUUUCUUCCCAAUAUGUCAAGUGGUAGAACGGGUGAUUGAAUUUUUCAAACUAUGAGGACUCCAUCUUGUCAUUCUCUUUUUAGGCCCAAAAAGGCCUUUGGCGUGAUAUCAUUUCUCAUUUUCACUUUGCCAAUGAGUGGACUCUGCCAUACUUUGCAAAGGAUUGAGUUGGUUAUGGCAUUGCAAUUUGGUUUUAUUGCUUACGUGGAAAUCAGUUGUACUCAAGCUUGUUGUGUGCUAGUCUAGGGAAAGGGGGAGCUUGCCGAACCAUUUGUGCAGAAAGUUGUUAAAAGACUAGUCAACUGCUGGUAAUUUCUUUUGGUAGCUUUGCCAUAUUGUGGAUCCAAAUGAGAUUUGCCUUUUGGUUCCAACACCUAAUAUCUUUUAGAUUCAAUGACUCUACCUUCCAUGUCUUUUUCAUUUCAACGUUAGUGGGCUAUUUUUAGUCCGUUCGACGAGCACACGGUUAAAACCGAUAAAGAUAACAGGAGAAUUUCAUCACUAAUGAGUUUGGAUUUUUCCUAGCGACUCUUGAUAUAUCCUAGGUCAAUAAUCUUAACUUACAACUUCUUAAAGAUCCAUUGAGGUCGUCUUGGGACAUAUUUUUGCCAAAAAUAAAGAACCGAGAUGUUUGGGUAUGCAAGAUUCAACUUUGCGAUCUUUAGAUAAUACCAAUCAUUCUCAAUAACCUUAGAUUUUCCACAUUCAUUAAUCAACAUUGAUCCAAGCAUAUAGAUUCAUCAAAUUCAAUUGAGGAUAGAAAGCUUGUUCGGGUCUUAUUUGGUCCCUGGAACUGCUCACACAAUUAACAAAAGUUCAAAGCGAUCUAACGCCCCCAACCCCCCUAAAAACAACACCCAUAAAAAUUGCCAUGGCACCUCUUGAUUCGAUUUGAUCACGGGUGGUCAACAGACCAGAGCCCCCAUGGAGCUCAUCCAAAGGCCCGAGCUACGGUAACCUCUCGCAAAGUCCUCAUUCUUCCGAAAUAAGUACAUCCCAAGUGUCAAAAUUUGGCACAGAGAGAUAUUUAAGUGCCAAAAGUUAGGAAAGUGACUCUUAAGUGUUAUCUCCGGUGAACCCCGCCGAAAAUCCUAUAUGGUAAUUUUUUAUUAUUUUUCUCGCUUACAUGGCUCGUCGGAGAGUUGACUUAGUAAAGAAAAGCAAAAACGACAUCGUUUUUGCGUGGAUUCGAAUUUUAAUAUAAAAUUAAUUUAAUAAUAAUAAUAAUAAUAAUAAUAAUAAUAAUAAUAAUAAUAAUAAUAAUAAUAAUAAUAAUAAUAAUAAUAAUAAUAAUAAUAAUAAUAAUAAUAAUAAUAAUAGCAAAAAAAAAGAGGAGGAGGAGGAGGGAGGAAGAAGGCGGUUGAGGGCUGAGCCCUCGCCGCUGCCGCCGCCUCCUCGCCAUCGUCGGGAAGGGUCGGUGAAUGUGGGGGGAGGGUCAACUGGGGUCGUCAGUCCCUAGCCAUGGGCCGGCGACCCUGGCCGACUGGUGGCGAGGCCCCGCGAGCCCUCGCCCCAGAUCUGGGUGAGGGUCACAAGCUUCACCAGAUCCGGCGAGGGCCACCGACCCUCAUUAGAUUUGGGGGAGGGCCAUGACCUUUAGCCUGGCUAGGUAAGGGUUGCGACCCUUGCCCAAAUCUGGGGCGAGGGCUCGCAAGCCCUCGCUGCCUGUUGGCCGAGGUUGCCGACCCUUUGCCAGGGCCGGGUGACCCUGGCCGACCCUCCCUCCAUCGUCGCCGGCCCUUCCGGUGGCAGUGAGCAGGCGGUGGCGGCGACGAGGGCUUAACCCUCAGUUGCCGUCUUUCUCUCUUGGCCUUUUUUUAAAAUUAUUUUUGGAAAUAUUUGUAUUUUUAUUUUUAAAUGAUUUAAUUAAAUUUAGUUUUAAAUUUAAUUUAAUUAUUUUAAUUUUUAAUUUUUUACCACGUCAGUAGCAAAACGACAUCGUUUUUGCAUUGUCUAGUCAUGUCAGCGUGCAAAAUGACGCCGUUUUGCACAUGCUUCGCCGAAAAAUCGUCACGUUAGCAUUUUGGCCGGAUUUUCUUGCCGUUGGCACUUAAGUGAUCAAUUUUGCUAUAAUUUAAGCACUUAAGUGAUUCUCUAAUUUUAGCACUUAAAGUGAUCAAUUUUGCUCUGAUUUUGGCCUUAAAUGUCACUUUCUUAACUUUUGGCACUUAAGUGUCCCUUCGUGCCAUGUUUUGGCACUUGGGUGUACUUCUUCCCACUCUUCCUAUCACAACUCACUAGCGAUGGAAGUAUUUCUUUUUAUUCUUCCAAUUCUCUGCUUUGUGCCUUUCUUUCGCCUUCUCCUCUUCUUGAAGUCUCCGAAUUGGAGUCGCCAUAGUAAGUUAUCGAAAAUCACGUAGAGAAAGGAUAAUCUCGCGAUGAAUUUGUCUAUCUUCUCCUCAGCCAUGGAAGGCAUUGCGUGGUGAGGAUGGAUCUACACGUUGUGCAUCCUGCACUUUGUGUUUGCUUGCCAGUUCCUUCACCUUCAACCUCUCGUCUCUACCCUAGGUACAUCAUUCUGGAUAGGGGUAAGCAUCGGUCUAGGGUCAAUCUUAAAUCGGCCCUAAACCAGCCCAACCCUGAUUAUCCUAAUCCAGUUCCCAGGGAGAUUGGAUUGGUUUUUGGUCUUGGGAUUCCUAGACCAGCACUGUGCAAGUUGGUCCUCGGUUCUGGGAAUUUAGAAUCAGUCCAACCCGAAACAACCCUAACUCUAUAUAUAUUGUAUAUCUAAUAUAUUAUUUAUAAUUUUUUAUGUAGAAAAAACCCUAAAAUAAACAGUGUCAAUAACAUUUAACAGCUCAUUAGUGAGGAGUUCAAGUAAUUUUACACCGUUCUUUAAUAACUUAUAUUUUUAAUAUCUUUUACGGCGUCAAUAACCAUAAUUUACAAAGGACAAAAACAUUUUUAUAAGGAAUCCUUAUGGCGUCCAAAAUGGUAUAAACAACUUCUCACAGCAUCUUCCUUUAGUACUUAUUCUCUUAUAUUUUAUAUGUUCUCUUAGUCUUCAAUUUGCUAAAAUCAAAAGAAACAGCUUCUCCACUUGCCACUUGACACUCGUCUUGCUCACUUUGGGUCACUUGUGCUGCUCGUCGCUUGAUACUCACCUAGCUUGUUGCUCUCCACUCUUUGCUUAAUGCUCACCCCACUCGACGCUCGCCGCUCGCCUCUCUUAGCUAACCUCGCUUGUCACCGAGCCCAUUGAAUCGGUUCGGUCAUUGGUCGCCUUUUUAGGAAGUACAAUACUAAAAAUGAAAUUAAAACUUAUUGGUUGGUCCCAGGUUGACCUUGGAAUUAGACCGAACCCAUUGGGUCGGUCCGGUUAUCGGUCGCCUUUUUAGGGAGUACAAAAAAUGAAAUAAAAAAAUUAUUGGUCUUGGGUUGACCUUGGAACCAAACCGAAUCCAUUGGGUUGGUCCGGUCCUCGGUCCCAAGCUCAAUAAGGUUGGUUCUUGAUACUAAAAAUUGAGAAUCAACAUUGUAUGGAUUGUUCUUAGGGUUAGGGGGUGGACUGGCUCAACUCGGAUCAUGCUCACUCCUAAUUCUGGAUUAGAUCUGUGAACUCAUUGCCUAGUGGAGACUUUGAGAGGUUGCAAUGUGCUUUAAAGCUUGAGCAACUGGUUUUCUAUUUGAGUAAUUUAUUGAUCAUCGUGGCCACUGAUUUUGCAUAGAGACAUCAAAAAGAGAAUGUUAGAUGAAGAUAAUCAAAAUGAAUAGUACUAGCUGUGUUAAUCCAUGCAUUUUCAUUUUUGCCAUCAUAUCUUCUUCCUUGUCCCCCUUCUUUCAAUCUUCAUUGUAGCAUCAAUUGACCCAGAAUGUUCAGUUUAAACAUUGCAUGACAUCUAAAUCGAUCAUUGCAUAACACAAUCCUAUUGAAAUGUUAAAUCCUCCCAACAUAGAAACCUUCCUGGUAUCAAUAAUUCGCUAUCGUGACUACAGCUUAAAGAUAGAGCCACAGAGAGAGAGAGAGAGAGAGAGAGAGAGAGAGAGAGAGAGAGAGAGAGAGAGAGAGAGAGUUUUUGUCCGAACAUACGGUGAUUAUACAAGCAGUUGGGCGCCUUGCAAAGAUGACUUCAAAAAAUAUGAGGAGAAAAUUUGUUGCCCUGCCUAGACAUUAUCGUAUUUUGCUAUUUUGGAUAGGUAUCCAAAUACUUUUCUUGCUUUUUGAUAAUUAAGUGAAUUUGAUUAGAAUAAACUGUGAAAAAAAUUAAAUUAGCUUAGAUUAAAUUCAAUAUGUAACAUGACUCACGCUCUUUAUCGAGUAAAAAAUUGUAUGGAUUUUCACUAUUUUCGUAAAAAGGAAGAAGUUAAAAAUAGUUUGUAUAACCAUCAAUAAAAUAAUAAUUGACAUUAUUAGAGAAUUCAAUUAACUAACCUUAGAAAAUGCAAUAAAUGCUAAGAAAAAGAAGGUAGCAAAGUUAAUUUAUGAGCAAGAAAAAAAAUCAUCAGUCGAUUUUUUUAUUUUUUGAAAAAAAAUUGUUAGGGAAGGGCGAUUGCCGGGUGGCCCUCCCCACUCUAUCAAUUGUGAUGUGUCUUGUAUGGGUACCAUGUACAUAUAUGGCGAAGGUAAGGAUGUAUUUUCUAGCUAUAACUCGUAUUUGAUAUCAAUGAACUAUAUUCUGAUUAUGGACACUUUAAUGAUUUGUUAAAUAUUAUUUUAUUGAGGGGAUCUUUGAUCUUCGGUGUAUCAUUGGGUAUGUAAUGAUGAUAAUCAAUGUAUUGAGAAUCGCAAUAUAUUCUUAUUUAGUUGCGUAGGAAUUGUUUUUGACACUUUUAAAAUGAAUCUUUUUUAUAUUACACUUUACUGCCCUAGGUAGAAUAAUUUAGAAUACAAAAAGGCACCCUUCAAAUGAUGCAAAUAUAUUAUUAUCCAAAAAUUAUAAUUGUGAAGCUUGUUCACAAGGAAAACUCAUUACUGAACCUUUUAUAACAAAGAUUAAUCUUGAAUGCCAUUUAUUCUUGCAAAUAAUUCAUGAUGAUAUUUGUGGAUCAAUGUAACCACCAAGUGAACCAUUUCGAUAUUUUAUGGUACUAGUGGUGUAGAUGAUUCCAUAAUUGUCUAUUAUCUAUGCACAAUAUCACAUUUGCACAUUUACUUGCGCAAAUUAUAAAACUCCGGACACAAUUCCCUAAUUAUCCAAUUAAAAACAUAAGGAUGGAUAAUGCUGGUGAAUUUACAUCAAAGAGUUUUGAUAUCUAUUGUGCUUCAUUCAAAAUCGAGAUUGAGCACCUAGUCGCAUAUGUUCAUAUCCAAAAUGGAUUGGCAAAAUCAUUGAUUAAAUAUAUCCUAAUCAUUACCUAAACUCAAUUAUCCAUAAUGAAUCUCAACGAUACAGCAUGGGGUUAUGCAGUUUUGCAUGCGGCAGACCUAAUAAGAUUACACCCCACAUCUAGUCUUUUACAAUCUCCCAUUCAAAUUGUUCUUGAUUAUGAACCAGACAUUUCACAUUUAUGCAUCUUUGGUUGUGCAGUAGAGGUGCCUGUAGCACUACUAAAAAGAACAAAAAUGGGUUCCCAACUCCAUUUGGGCAUUUAUGUUGGGUUUAAUUCACUGUCCAUCAUUAGGUUUUGGGAACCAACUAUUGGUGAUCUUUUUACUGCCAAAUUCGUAGAUUGUCAUUUCGAUAAGACUAUGUUUCCAUUAAUUGAGACACUUACAACUUCUAUGACUACAAAACAAAACCAGUUAAGUAUUUCUCCCGGAAUGAGAAAAUUUUAUUUCAACUAGACCCAAGAACUCCUAAGUGCAAAAACAAGGUGCAGCGCAUAAUCCAUUUACAGGCUAUGGCCAAUAGACUUCCCGAUACAUUUAAUGAUGUUACUAAGGAACGAAGUCUCAUAUUCCAGUUGCAAAUGCUCAAACUAGGAUAGCUGUUCUCGAAAGACAAGCUAAAAUGGAUCAACCCCCCACUUGAAGCGUGGUAGAUCAACAGGAUCAAAAGAUACUGUUCCUCAAAAACAAAGAUGAAAGAAUCAAGAUACCACUCUAGAAGAACCCGGUGUUGUGCUUGCUCCCAAAGAGCUUAUUGCCCCUAAAGAGGCACAAACCCAUGAAAGGAACACCAACCCUAGGAAUACUAAGAAUUUCAAUACAUAUUGUAAUAAGAUUUGUGAUCGAAAUGAAAUUAUCAUCGAUGAUGUUUUUGCAUUCUCAAUUGCUCAUAAAAUUAUGGAUAAUGAUUGUGGAAAUAUGAGCUUAGUUUUUGUCAUAGAUAUAGAGUGAUAUAUUGGAAAUAAAAUUUUCUGUUAUGGCUUUCUCUACUAUAUUUGGUAUUUAUUUGCUUUCUUUACUCAAUCUUUCUAUUCUCUCUAUUAUAUAUUUGCAACGCAAUAUUAUACAAUAGGACACAUCAUUUUUGUUUUCCUCUUGCAUUCCGUACCUCGUGCCGUAUCAAAUUCGAGUAUUCAUCAAGCACAGUCUUUGGGUGUUUUUCUUUUUCUUUUUUAUAAAUAUCGCAAGAGGAGAGAAUAACGAAGGUGGAUGCGUGAAGGGGGAGCAAUAGGAUAAACACCGCCGGUUGCACCGGUUGCUUUUGGCCUUUCUUCUUUUCUUUUUUUGAGUGUUGUGUAUGUAAAGAGAGAUACUUCGUUCCUUGUUUGACGAGUACCAGAUCUCUUCCAAUCCAAACCACCAAAAAAAUUGAAAAUAAAAAUGAGAGUUGCGAGCCUCUUUUUGCUGUUGUUUGACGCGGUAGAAACAAGCGAUGUUUUAUUAGAUAGGCAUAAGAUUACAUGCAUUAGUUUGGCUCGAAUUGUGCAGGGCAAUGGAUUAUGAUUCCAAUUAUAACCACUCUAAGAACACUCGACUAACACACUAUAAAAUUCAAGAGCAAAUUUGUGUGUUUUAAUAGCGUCCGUUCUUCCAUUUGUGGGAAAUUAGUACACAUAUAUAUUUCAGCAUAAUUUUUUUUGCAAAAUUGUAUCAUAUUUCAAAUAAAUCUCCCUAUCUAGAAUAAAACAAAGGCAUAAUUCUUAGUUCAAAUGAUGUGUUAAUGUAAAAUAUAAGACUUGAUAACAGUUAGGAAAUUGUUAAUUUUUGUUAUUUUAUGACGUAGGGAGAAUUCAUAUGUAAUUAAUGAAACCAGUGUAAAUUUGAGAGAAAAUAAUAAAAAUCUUUCAAGGAACUUGAUAGGAAGAGUUGAAACAAAAUGUAAGAAUUUUCAACAAUCGCUAAUUUGCAACGUUAAAACUCAUUAAAACUAAUUUAUUUUCCUUUUUGUUGAACAAAACUUGUGUUAUUGAAUGAGGCAAAGUACAAAUUUUGGUUGAAAGAAAAAUGAGUGGCGAGUGCGAAAAAGAAGUCCUUGAAUGGAGAGGGAUCAAUCCAUUCCAAUUUAGAGUUACGGGAUAAUUCCACUAAAAGUUAUAAAUUUCAUACUCCAUGACAUAGUUAUUUAAACUAAUUUUGUUUUACAAAAAACCCAAACCGCAUACCCUAUGACAAUUCAUCUAAAAUUAAUUUUCAUCUCACAUAAAAUCCCAAACUAAUACCUCAUGAUAUAUUUACCCCCAACCUAAUUUUGUCUCAUAAAAGACCCCAAAUGUUACUCCUAAUCCAAUCUACCUUCUAUAAAAUGUGUAGAUUUUUCAUGCCGAAUCUAUCAUUCUCCAUGUUAGAUCUAUCUUACAGUUAUCUAUUGUUUGUGUUGACACGCACGCAUUUUAACAUAAUAUUAAACUUAAUACUGAUUGAUGAUAGAUUUGCGUUAGAGAUACCAAUUUGGUAUAUUUUGUGACACAAAAAAUCAAUUUAGGGUAAAUGUGUCAUGGAGUGCUAGUUUAGGAUUUUUAUGAGACAAAAGCUAAUUUGGGAUAAAGGUGUCAUGAGAGUAGAAUUUGGGAUAUUUAACAGUAGUAGCACUAGUUAUGUUUAGAGACAGUUCCUUAAGGAAGAACUUGAUCUCAUAUAUUUAAAUAAAUAGGGAAGUCAUCGGGGUGAAGCUUCAUCGGAAGAAAAUUUCUUUCUUGGAUUUGGGUCCACCGAUUUGAGUUCAACAAUUUCUCUAGACAACCAUCUUUCAUCAUUUUGAGGUGAUGGUGCAUUGCAUGCUUCAAGACAAUUCCCUGCUUCGAAUGAGUUUAGAUUUAGGAUUGUAGGCAUUAGAGUGACUAAAUAUAACUUUGAAAGGAUAAACGUAAAUGAAAAACAAGCCCUGGGAGCAAAAGAUAUUUUCGCUGUACAAAACAAUACAUGAAAUCCUCAAUCUUGGAACCUUAUAACUCGAUUCCAAGGCCAGAGUUUCUAGUUCUAGCAAGUAAUGUCACAAACCGUUGAGAAUUGAACCAUGAUUUUUAACAUGAACAAAUAACAGCAUAAGCACAAAAACAAGGAGACAUUGCGAAACCACUAGUGAAGAUUGCCACUGUAGCUAAAGAAAAUAAGCAAAAUUUGCAAUUACUAAUACAAAUUUCUACAGAAAAAAAAAGUCAUGCUCAACAUGAAUAGAAAAAUAUUGGAAAGAGAGGUGAGAGCGAGGGCGGGUGUGAGAAAAAGCCACAUGAGGAAGAGAGCUUGAGGGUGGUAGGCGUGAUGGAACACGGUGUGAGGAAGAGAGUUCGAGGGCAGUGAGCAUGAGGGAAUGUGGCUUGAGGCAUGGAAGAGGGGGAGUCGUGAGGCAUGAGAGAGGAGAGUGAAGAAAGAGAAGCGUUCUUAGGGUUUUUGCUUCAUAAAAAGGCAAAAAUGGAAUUACGUCUAAUAAAUCAUGGUGAGAUGGGAAGUUAAGAUAUUUUCAUUAAACCAACAAAGUAGAGUUUUGAAAAAGCUAAUUCUUAAGAAACCUCCAAUUUUUCAGUCUCUUAAAGGCAUUUGCAUAUGCUCAAAGGACUUUAGAACUCUAAAGUCCAUUCCAAAUAUUGAACCAAACAAAGAAACUUGGGCUUAGGCUUUGCAUUGAAAAGCUCCAAGCCUUGAUGAUGAGACUUCGGGGCCGAAUUGAGCCUGGAUUCAGAAGAGCCGGAUUCGUGCAAGUUCAUCACAUCAAAAACCCUAAAGAAAUCCAGAUCCUGCAUGAAAGCUACAGGCCCAGACAAAAAGUUUUUGUAUUUGGUCCAAACCCGCUUGAUAGCAGAAGAUUUGUCCAAACCCGAUCAAAUAAUGAGUCGUCGAUUAGCAUCGGUCAUGGUGAAUCACUUCCACUUGUUCUGGUUUUAGGUCAGUCAUCGGCAAUCUUCUCUGUUCUCUACUUUAUUUGUUGCCCUGGCAAAAGGUGAUGGAAUUUUUGACCAGUGCCGUGCACGUGGGAUUGAGUGAAAAUGCGACUUCAUUUGCUGCGUCUUCCUCGGGACCGUAAUGGAACUUUUGACCAGUGCCGUGCACGUUGGAUUAAGUGAAAAUGCGACUUCAUUUGCUGCGUCUUUCUCGGGACCGUAAUGGAACUUUUGACCAGUGCCGUGCACGUUGGAUUGAGUGAAAAUGCCCGACUUCAUUUGCUGCGUCUUCCACGGGGACACGGAGGGCGGUCCACUUUCUCCCCAUCGGGGAAGCACUGGGACCACCUUUAUUCCUUUUUAAUUCUUUAAUCCGGGCUCUGUCAAAAGAGAGAAAAAAAAUUCCAUUUUACCUCUGCUUUCUGUCUCACUCUCACUCUCGGUCUCUCUCUCCCCGAGAGUGAUCGAUUCGAUCCGAUCUAAUUCCAUUUAGGAAUUAGGAAUCGAACCGGAAUGAUGGAUUCCCAAUUUUUAGGAUAAAAAAUUAGACCGGACCAAUUUAGGAUUGAGAACUGGACUGGAACAACCGGUCUAGUCCGGUCCGGUCCCAUGAAACGGAUUACUUAGUAAGAAAAUUUAACAAUUAAGAAAAAUACAAGAAUUGUUACUAUUUUUAAGUUUUAUUGCUAUUUUAAGAUAUUAAAAAAUCAAUUAAAAAAUGGAUUGGCCGGUCCAGUCCAAUCCGUUUCGGUUCCACCCCAAAGUUAGGAACCCCGACAAUUACCGGUUCCAUUUUUAUGGAACUAGGAAUUGGACCAAUCCCUCUAGGAACCAGACCACAUUGACCAGUCUGGUUUGAUUCAAGCGAUUCCCAGUUUGGGCAGUCCGAUAUGCUAACCCCUAAUCUUAUCUUGUCCACGUGACCAAAUGAAUCACGAUAACUUUACAUCAUUGAUCUCCACUUCACGUGCAAUGAGAGCCGUGUUCGGCCUGGAGCAACGAUCGUGAAGUCGGAAGUGCCCACCCGCAUCGAUGUUGGAGCAGCUCUUUGACAGUGGUGCCGGUGAGCAAAACGGUAUUAGGGCGCUAAGCUUAGAGUGGAAAGUGGGUCUAGGGUUUCCUGGUGAUUGAGCAUAGCAAAGUGUUAGGAGCAAUUUGGAGAAGAAAGUCACAGUUUGAUUAUAAAAAAAAAGUCACGUGGUCGUUUCUUGUGAGAUGGAAUGUGGUACCGUCUUUAUUGAGAAAAAUUAGGGUGUUAAGAUUGGAUUAAUUUAGGAGAUUAUGUAACAUAGCUCACUGUCUUUAUUGAGAAAAGAAAAUUGUACGGAUUUUCGCUACUUUCAUAAGAAUAGCUUACACAACCAUCGGCAAAUAAUAAUUGACGUUAAUAUAUUAGAGAAUUCAAUUAAUCAAUCUUCAAAAAGCAAUAAAAUUAAAUGCUAAGUAACACGAUGAAGAAAGUAACAAAGUUAAUUUUUGAGCAGAAAAAAAUGAUGAGCUGAUUUAUACUUUUUCUAGUAAAACAAUAGGCAGGGAGAGAAGAUCGCUGGGUGGCUCCUCCACCGAUUGUACUGUGUAUUGUAUGGGUGCCAUAUUCAUGAAUGGCGUAGGCGAGGACACAUAUUUGAACGUUAACUUGUAUUUGAUAUAAGCAAACUUUAUUUCAAUUUAUGGCCAAUUUAAUGAAUAUCUAGGACACCUGUUAAAUAUUUUUAUUAAAGGGAUUUUGACCUUCAAUGUGUAAUAGGAUAUAUUAUGAUGACAAUCAAUGUAUUAGGAGUUGCAAUAUUUUCUUACUUAGUUGCUUAAUGAGUGUUUUCGAGAGACUUUUUAAGUAAAUAUUUUUUAUCUCGGAUCUUUAUACUUUUUUAAGACACUUCAAUGCUUCGGCUUGGAUUAAUAAGUUCUUUCGAAGGAAAAGCCUAGUGGAUUUUUCCAAGUAUUAUGUAAAGAAUGCAAUUGACCAAUAAACUUUGGGUUUGGUAAGAUCAAUUUCUAUAUCUUGUAUAAAGAGAAAAGUUUAACGAAAUCCUUCCACCAGAAAUUUUUCCAUUGUUUUCUGUAAAGAACUGUUUGAGUGAGCAUACGUUGAUUCAAAUAAGGUACAACUGAAAAAAAAAAUCUCUGAUAGUCUUUCCAAUUAGAUCGAUCGAAGUGAGUUCAAAGAGCUUCUGUGGGAGAGAGUACCUUUGAGGUUGAUUCGAUCGUAGGUCGCUGCCACUAGCAAGGAAGUGAGAGAGAGAGAGAGAGAGAGAGAGAGAGAGAGAGAGAGAGAGAGAUUUUGUCAAGCCAGACAGUGACUAUGGAAGCAUUUGGGUUCGUUGCAUAAAUGAUAAUUACAAAAACAAGAGGUGAGAGUUUGUUUGCUCUGCCUUGACUUAAUUGUAUUCGCUCUUCUGGGGUACGUAUCCAAAUACCUUUCAACUCUUUAAUAAUUAGAGAAUCUUUUUUUUUUUGGUCAAACAUAAUUGGUGAAUUAGGUUAAAUUAGAUUAAAUUAGGAGAUUAUGUAACAUUGCUCACGCUCUAUAUCGAGAAAAAAUAAGUAUGGACUUUUACUAUUUUCGUAAGAAUAGCUUACAUAACCAUUGACAAAAUAAUAAUUGGCAUUAAUACAUUAGAAAAUUCGGUUAACCAAUCUUAGAAAACAUGAUAAAAUUAAAUGCAAAGAAACAUGAUGGAGAAAGUAACCAAGUUAAUUUCUAAGUAGGAAAAAAAUUGACGAGGUUGAUUUUAUUUUUGACAAAGAAAUGGACGGGGAGGGGUGAUCACCAGGUGGCUCUUCUGUUGAUUGUAAUGUGUAUUGUGUGACAUAUUCAUGUAUGGCGAAGGUAAUGGUCUAUUUUCAAACUUGAACUAGUAUUUGAUAUCAAUAAAUUUUAUUUUGAUUUAUAGUCAUUUUAAUGAAUAUCUUGAGUACUUGUUAAAUAUUUUUAUUAAGAGAAUCUUUGAUUUUGCAUAUGUCAUCGUGUAUAUUAUGAUGACAAUCAAUGUAUUGGGAGUCACGAUAUUUUUUUAUUUAACUGCUUAAUAAGUGUUUUUGAGGUACUUUCUAAGUAAAUCUUUUUUUAUGUCGAGUCUUUAUGCUCUUUGAAAUAAAAGAAUUCUAAAUCUUUUACUAAACCAGCGAAAGGUNNNNNNNNNNNNNNNNNNNNNNNNNNNNNNNNNNNNNNNNNNNNNNNNNNNNNNNNNNNNNNNNNNNNNNNNNNNNNNNNNNNNNNNNNNNNNNNNNNNNAAAAUUGCAACGUCGGCAAUUUGACCAGAUUUUGGCCGAAGUGGCACUUAAGUGUUCCACUUUACUCCGAAACUAGCACUUAAGUGUACCUUUCCGAAGUUAUGGCACUUAAGUGUUCCUCUGUGCCAAGUUUUGGCACUUGGGCUGUUCUUCUACCCAGUUUUCUUAUAUUGCUUAAUUGUUGAUUACGUCAUUCCACAAAUAGUGCGGUCUACCAAUCAAAACAAGCCCGUAAAGAUCAAGGCGACAUUGGAGCUCACGUCCGAAGGCGACUUGAUCAGAGGAAAUCGGAACCACAAUAAAGAUCAAUUGAUAUCCCAGAAACCAGACCAUUGAAAAACACUCCAAGGAAGCAGGGCACCAUAAAGUCCAGAAGAUGGGAUCACACAAUCCAUUUGGGUAGCUUCUCCAAUCACCUGACAAAUUAAAAAAGGGCCUGCAUCGCCAUUGGCAGUUCAGAAUGUAUAUAGCAAAGGCCAUGACUAAGCUAGUCAUCAACCUCUAACUAAACAAAGGCCCUCUAAAAUAAUUACCAAAUGAAGUAAAAUGAAAGCUACAUAACCUGUUUUAUUCUGAAAAAUGAAGAGAAGGCUACAUAACCUGUUAAGCACCUGUAUUUAUCAAUUCAAACAUGACUGAAAAGGGGACUCAGACAAGAAUUUCUCACAGAGAGAGAGAGAGAGAGAGAGAGAGAC